AUCUUUCAAAAUUAUGAAAAUAAUAAUGGCAUGGAUCCAAUUAACUCUUUCUAUUUU
rnacentral:sRNA from 1 species